UUGGAGCUGCGUGCCUCCUGUAUUAGGAGCC
rnacentral:sRNA from 1 species